ACUAUAACAGAAAAGGUAAGUAACUUCCUUAAAGUUGCACAGUUAGCGAAUUACAGAGCUAGAACACACGUCCGGGUGUCCUGAUCUUCAGGCUGGGCCACUGGUCACUGUGCUAUGGUACCUUUUGCUGUCUGUCUGUCUGUCUAUCCAUCAUCUAUCACCUCUCUGUCCAAUCAGAAACAGACAUGUAACCCUUUUGGCAUCGUCCUAGUGCCAUCUCCAGGCAGUAGGUAUCAAUAUUAUAUUUACAAGAUUCAUCCACACAGUGGCGGGCCCCUUUAGCUCAUUCAUUUCACUGCUAGUUAUUAUAUCUUGGAGUGAACCGAAAGCAUUGCCUGUUUUAAUACCACUGAACACUCCGUGCUUCCGGGAGGCCUCCCUAAUACAUGUAUUGCUGCUACAGGCACUUUUGUGCACGGUUCCUGUACACAUACACAUUUUUCUUUUCUCAAGGGCGUGUGCUGGGUGUAGAAUUGCUGGACCAGCUGCCAAGCUGGGAUAUGUUCCUGGACGAGGAACCAGGGAGAUCUCUGCACACAGCCAGUGAACCACUGAGACCCUCUUUCCAUCAGCACAUGCAGAACUGGAAUCACCAGCAAGUAUGUAAGAGAGCUUGGCACGGAUCCUCCACCUUGAGCCUUCAGGCCAAAUUCCAAGCGGCUUGCGGAGGAGCGUCCACCCCGGAAGGCCGGUGGAGAGUGCUGCUGUUGAUGGAGGAGGAAGGGUCCCGGACCAGCAGUGCUAUCCACAGGGUACAGAAAAGCAAAAAAGGCCUCGUGCUGGAUGCUGGAUUUACUUUCUUGGAGAGAAAGCCCUGGGGUGACUUGGCAGGGGCUGUCACACAGUGACUACCAGGGCCACAUGAAGAGAUGUUAGAGGAAGGCAGAGAGGAUUUAAUAUCAAAACUCUAAACCCCUGAGCAGAAGGCAUGCAACCCAGGAGAUGCAAUCACUUUUAGAGUUUUUCAUUCGAUGCAGUUUGAAUAUCCAUUUUUUGUCAUUGGCAGAUUUUAUUAAGCAUCUCCAAGAACAAGGAUACCUUUAAUCAAAGACCGAAACCUGGAAUAAUGCUUUUUUUAAAGUAUCUGUCUCAAUCUUUUGGUCCCGAGGGUAAAACGCCGGGCUCCUUGCCAUGAUUCUGGGUCACCACUUUCUUCUGCACUUGUGCCGCAGAGGCUGAGGGAGACACUCACCUCCCACGCACCACCUCAGGGAGCUCACAAGUCAAGGAGGCCACUGCCACUGUGGUAAUUUGCAGAGUAGGCCAUCUCAUGCCUCAGAGCCAGCAGGUGAGGGCCACCACUUGAC
rnacentral:lncRNA from 1 species